AAGUCGUAACAAGGUCUCCCGUAGGUGAACCCUGCGAGGGAUCAUUACCAAAAGAUGGCGGGCCUCCGGGCCCCCCGUCCCCAACCCUUUGUCGCCCAAAAACCUUUUUGCCUCGGGGCAGAGCGUCCGCCGCCGCCCCCGGAGGAUCACCGAAUGCUGUCUCUUUACGUCAGAGUAUUGAUUAAAUGAAUCAAAA
rnacentral:misc_RNA from 1 species